ACAGAGUGACAGGUGGUGCAUGGUUGUCGUCAGCUCGUGUCGUGAGAUGUUGGGUUAAGUCCCGCAACGAGCGCAACCCUUGAUCUUAGUUGCCAGCAUUCAGUUGGGCACUCUAAGGUGACUGCCGGUGACAAACCGGAGGAAGGUGGGGAUGACGUCAAAUCAUCAUGCCCCUUAUGACCUGGGCUACACACGUGCUACAAUGGAUGGUACAAAGGGCUGCAAGACCGCGAGGUUUAGCCAAUCCCAUAAAACCAUUCUCAGUUCGGAUUGUAGGCUGCAACUCGCCUACAUGAAGCCGGAAUCGCUAGUAAUCGCGGAUCAGCAUGCCGCGGUGAAUACGUUCCCGGGCCUUGUACACACCGCCCGUCACACCACGAGAGUUUGUAACACCCGAAGUC
rnacentral:rRNA from 2 species